rfam:Oryza nivara chromosome 7, whole genome shotgun sequence.
UUUAAUCGCAAUCAUAAGUUUUUGUGUUUAACUUUGAUUGCUCAUUUUAUUUGAUUUUUUUUAUUGUGAUUUAAUGAUAAAAUAUGAAUAGUACUUUUAUGCUUGAUUUAUAUUUUUUAGUUUUUUUUCAAAUAAAACGGGUGAUUAAAGUUAGACAUUAAAACUUAUGGUUGUGCUUACA